UUACCAUAGUCUCUGUUUUAACAUAUUUAUCCUCACAGUGCUCCUGUCAGUCACCUGGUGAAGCUCAAAAGCUUGUAUACCUGGGAAAAUGAGGUAUAAGGAGCAUGAGGGUAUGUUUCUCAUAAGUACUAAGUGAUCUAGGAGUCUCUAAGUCCCAUUUUCAAAAGUGACUUAGGCACUUAGGGAGGCCUAAGUAUCUUUGAAAAUCAAGCCUUACACUUAGCUCAGUCAUAAUCUCACCUCUCUAGUUCUCCUGAAUUCUUUCCUUUCAAUAAGAGUUUGUUGGCAUUUGUUCUUUGCAUGUCUCUUCUCAUCAAUGUAUUUGGGUGUCCCAGCUAAGAGCAAAUAUUUGUUCAGAGUCAGAGAAAAAAGUCUCUGGGUAUAUUAGUGUGAAAAUGUUUUAGAAAAGCCUUUGAAUUUACAGUUUGUUUAAUCUGGUUCCAGAAUAUAUGUAUCAAAAGAGGCAGCACAGCGUGGGAACAUUGCUUCCAGAACUUCACAUGACAGAUCAUAGAACUGGUCUAGAGAAUGUUACACCAACCACAGACUGUCAGGAUUCUCUACCCAUGAGUAGCAGAUUCGAUUUCCUCUUUCUCACACUGGGAACUAAAAAGACAGAUUCCUUAUCUGGUGUAAACUGUGCUAUGGCAAUGUACAGCAGAUGAGGAACUACCCCCAAUCUUAAAAUCCACAGGAAAAGGCUUUGAGAGUCUCAAAAACAUUUUCAUUUUUAAAAUCUCAGUAUUAGAAGCAUUUUGGAAGACCCUCCCAAGAAAUCUAAGAAGACGGAAUG